rnacentral:miRNA from 3 species
GAUCCCGCCUUGCACCAAGUGAAU